rnacentral:rRNA from 1 species
GACGAACGCUGGCGGCGUGCUUAACACAUGCAAGUCGAACGGUGAAGCGCCUUCCUUUUUGGUGGGUGUGGAUGAGUGGCGAACGGGUGCGUAACACGUGAGUAUCCUGCCCCCUUCUUCUUGAUAACCCCAUGAAAGUGUUGCUAAUCCGGGAUAUUCUGGGUCUGUCUCAUGAUGGGUCUGGUUAAGUUGUUGUUUCGGUGGGGGCUGGGCUCGCGGCCUAUCAGGUUGUGGGUGGGGUGGUUGCAUACCAAGGCUGGGACGGGUAGCCGGCCUGAGAGGGUGGACGGGCAGAGUGGGAAGGAGACACGGCCAAGACUGAUAUGGGAGGCAGCAGUGGGGAAUACGGGAGAAAGGGGGGGAGCAUGAUGCAGCGACGGCGAGUGAGUGAUGGAGGCCUGCGGGUUGAGAACUUAUGGCGUUAGGGAAGCAGGGCUGCCUCGUUUGUGGGGGGAUUGACGGUACCGGGAGAAGAAGCGCCGGCUAACUACGUG